rnacentral:lncRNA from 1 species
UAGGAUGGCUAACCAGUGUGUUUGAGUUCUUAAAGAAUCUGGCAGCUGAGGUCAUGGGACUAGGAUUAUUCAAGACUAAGUUUCCAACCCAUCAAUCCAACAUUUAUUGAGGACUUCUUGUGGACAAAGGGCUCUGUUUGCCUUUGUCUGGAUAUUCAGAAGACCCAUGUGAACAAUGCAAAAUAAAGUAGCAGUAAAAGAGAACGGACAAAUACAGUCACAAGGAAGGGAGGCUCUUGACGUCAAUAGGAAGUAAGAUGAGAAGUCUAGAGACUGGGCGGGAGAGUUCAAAUGAUUCUACGUGGGAGGAGAUUAAAAAUGGUAAAGUAAGAACAAGCUGCAAAAUAGACCCUCUUUGAAAUGUGAAUCAAAACAUUUUGAAAACAACCUAGCAAAGAAAAAAGAAGUAGAACUCUGGGAAUCAAGAAAAAGCUGGUAGGAAAACUAGAAACUAGAGAGAAACUGAAAAGGAUGCAAAGAAAAG